rnacentral:rRNA from 1 species
GACGAACGCUGGCGGCGUGCUUAACACAUGCAAGUCGAACGGAAAGGCCCUGCUUUUGUGGGGUGCUCGAGUGGCGAACGGGUGAGUAACACGUGAGUAACCUGCCCUUGACUUUGGGAUAACUUCAGGAAACUGGGGCUAAUACCGGAUAUGAGCUCCUGCUGCAUGGUGUGGGUUGGAAAGUUUCGGCGGUUGGGUAUGGACUCGCGGCUUAUCAGCUUGUUGGUGGGGUAGUGGCUUACCAAGGCUUUGACGGGUAGCCGGCCUGAGAGGGUGACCGGCGACAUUGGGACUGAGAUACGGCAGAGACUCCUACGGGAGGGAGCAGUGGGGAAUAUUGCACAAUGGGCGGAAGCCUGAUGCAGCAACGCCGCGUGCGGGAUGACGGCCUUCGGGGUGUAAACCGCUUUCGCCUGUGACGAAGCGUGAGUGACGGUAAUGGGUAAAGAAGCACCGGCUAACUACGUG